CUGGUGGCUGCCUGCCUGCUUGCUGCAAGAGAAGGAGGUGAAGGCUAGUAGGAAGGGAGAGGAGGACUGAGGGAUUUGGCGCAUCUUUCCUUACAUCUCUGUGUGCGCACAUGGGAAGAAGAUUCAGCUCACAAAAGAAAUUACCCAGAUUUCUAGAAUUCUGAUGUGUUUUUCGUUUAUUCCUGGUUUUUACUUUUUGAAUGUUUUAUUUUUUAAAAAAAUAGUUUUAUUGUACUGUUAUUUUUGUAAACCACUUCAAGGUUUUUCUACAAUCAAGAAGUGAAAUAAAUAAAUAUGAACAAAAGUGCAAUAAAUAUCCACCUAAAACAUUUGAGAGCCACUUCUUGAGUUUGUGUUGCUCAGAUUGCUCCUCUGAUUAGAGGAACAAUUUAAAAAAGAAUGGGUGCAUCAGGGAUGACGGGUGGAAAGAAGGCAUUUCCUCAAAAUACUUCUCAAAAUUACCACUUCUCUCCAAGCUUUCAUUCACAGUAUAUUUGUAUUUAAUGUGUAUAGUAAAUGUGUAUGUGUGCACCACUAACUAGUGAUCUUUGCCACCCUUUCACACCCCUACCUCAAAACUAAUUUUUCUAGAUCUGGGGUAAAACAACACAACAGAGGUGCUUUAGUAAUCGUUUUUGCUGGGUGUGGACUUGCAACAGCGGUUUCUCAAUUUCUAUAGGGUUGGCCCACAUAACUUCAGUUACAGCCUCUCUGUUUCUCAUCAUUGCACUGUUCUGCUUAAUCCUGUUGUUUAGCCUCAUCACUUUUUUCUUUUUUAAAUGUGGUGACAGCCCUCAGGCAGAGGUGAGACGGCAGGAUGUGGUGGCUCCACCUGCAAGUUGCAACACAACCUGGACAGGGGAGAGGACUACAUACCAAGAGCCGUAGGCAAAUGUGAUAGGCUGCAAAGCAAUCUGCUGUUCUCUUUGGCAGGGACAGCUGACACUCUUCCCUCAAGGAUUGCCAGGGAUGGGAAGAUGCCCCUUGAGGUGAAAUGGCCCUUUCCCCGGGCCCCACAUCUGCCCUGGACCUUGGCCAGCAGGGUGGUCAUGGGCUUGGUGGGCACCUACAGCUGCUUCUGGACCAGGUAUAUGAACCAGCUGAAUGUCCAUAACAAAGAAGUACUGUAUGAGCUUAUUGAGAAGCGCCAGGAAGGCAUCCCUCUUUUGACGGUCUGCAACCACCAGUCCUGCAUGGAUGAUCCACAUCUGUGGGGGAUCCUGAAAUUACGGCACGUCUGGAACUUGCAGAAAAUGCGCUGGACCCCAACAGCUGCAGACAUCUGCUUCACCAAGGAGCUGCAUUCCCGUUUCUUCAGCCUUGGGCGAUGUGUACCUGUCUGUCGUGGAGAUGGAGUCUAUCAGAAAGGCAUGGACUACAUUCUUGAGAAACUCAACCAUGGAGACUGGGUUCACAUGUUCCCAGAAGGCAAAGUAAACAUGACACAGGAAUUCAUGCGCUUCAAAUGGGGCAUUGGGCGUCUUCUGGCUGAAUGCCGCCUUCACCCCAUUAUACUGCCACUCUGGCAUGUAGGAAUGAAUGAUGUACUCCCCAAUGCACCCCCAUACGUGCCCCGUGCUGGGCAGAAGAUCACCGUGCUAAUUGGGAAGCCAUUCAGUGCCCGUCCACUGCUGGAGCACCUGCGGGCAGAGAACAAAUCAGCGUACAAUUGGAAACCAACAGCCAUCUUUCUAGGAGAACGAUGAUGGGAAUAAGUAAGACUGAUCUGCUAAGAGAAGCAGAAGUAUUUAUCAGCUGUCAAAGAUGGAGAUGCGGAAAGCGUUGACUGAUUUCAUUCAGGAGGAGAUCCAGGCACUGAAGGACCAGGCCGAGAGACUGCAUCAGACUUUCAAGCUUCAGG